GGGAACUUUCACAGGAGAUCGAUCAAAGCUCUCCCAUGUCAAGUUUAAGUAAUACAGGGAAGAGAUUAACAUGUUGCAGUUUUCACUUUGAUGUUCAGAAUCCACUUCAUGCUGGUCACAGAACACGCACGCUGGAUUUCCAGAUCCAACGUGCGGCUCU